GUUAUAGAUCUUCUGUUUUAUUUGUAUCCCCAGAAUUUUGUAUGUGUCGAAACUCAAGAUUAACUGCAGCAAUUGCAAAGAAAAGCAGCAAUGUAAUUAUUUUUCAGACAUUUUACACUGAAUAGCCCAAAAUGUUGGACCAAAAUCACACAUAAUCCCAAACUGAUCGAAAAUCCUAACUUACAUAAACAGAAAAAUAAAUUGGUAAUCAGGAGUUCCCUUUCAGCAAAUAAUCGAUCAAUAAAUUUAUGAAAUGCACCGGAGUGGAGAAGAAUGGAGAAGAAUCGAUCAAUAGUUGGAGAAGAAUGGAGAAAGGCGAGCUUGAGCGGGCCGGAGAGUGCAUACGUCAAUGGUGAAACCUGGAGCUCAGCCCUCCGAAUAAAAUCAAUCCGGCAGCUUUGGGAACGUCUCUGGGCGGAGAUGGGCAGCACAAUAUCGCGGCAAGGGCCUCGCGGUGGUGGCUCUUCACAGCGGCGGCAAGGGCUUCGCCUAAUCCAUUUGCCGAGCGGAGAUGGGCGGCAAAAUCGAUCGACGAGGGGGGUGAGGAGUCAGGUGGUGCGGUGGGUGAAGCGUCGGUGGGUGAGACAGUGGCUGGUGCGACGGACG
rnacentral:lncRNA from 1 species